CUGGGAGCUUUGAAGUAAAGUGGUUGGAGGGAUCUGUGUCCAAAAGGAAUGGAAAAAAUGGGGUACCUCCUGGUUGAAAAGCUGGCAUUUGGAAGGAGCUGGACAAGACUGUAGAUGAGAAGAUAUCAGGCUCAGCAUGCACUAUGAAAUAAGGACAUGGCUGCCACCAUUGUGAGCCUGCCUACUGCCCUACCACAGUUGGCUCGCACAUGCUACCAUAUCCCACCUUCCCACAUGAGGAAAUGCAAGUCUACAGAUCUUGCUCAGUGCCCAUUUGAAAUAGGGAAGUGCAGAGAUGGAUCUGGGCUGAGCACACACUGAUGGGAUGAAGCAGAUUUCCUCCGCUUUCAGUGCAUUUAUUGUCCUCAAGUAUACUUGGUGAUACAUCCAAACGCCUGUAAAACAGGAAAAGACAGGGGCAGGCAGGCACAGUGGUUUGUGAACAAAAGGAAGGCAAAAACAAGAUUGCCUGUGUGCAGACCAAUAACCACCACUUUCAUCCCUGGAGCUGGAACUGAAUAAGCUGAGGAAUACCUUUGCAACCCUCCAUUAAAACAGCAGUGGACGAAGACUACAUAUACAUAGAGUAUAGGCUUUUUAUACUGCAAAACCCUUUGGUUUGGCAGUAAUUCUUUCUUUCUCAGACAUUUAAUCAUACUUGAUUUUUUAAAGCCUUUGCUUUUCAAAGGAAAAUUAGAACAUUCCAAAGCCCAUUGGUCUUACUGAGAGCUACUAUUUGGUGCAACAUGUAGCAGACUGUGGAGCUGCAAAACUUCAGCUGGAUUUGUGAUGGAUGUCACAGGGUGUCUGGCCCAAGGGAGGAGCACCCAGAAAAACUACAGCACUGCUCAGGAAAACUAGAGACCCUGAAGCAUGACAUUUGAGAGUUCUUGCUAAAGGCUGAGGACUCCAGGGCAACUGUGCUCCAGAGAACACAAGUGGCUGCUGAGCUGGCUGGAAAUCCAAAUUUCAUCCUGUGGGAAACUCU
ensembl:lncRNA